UCGAUUUUGCCACUUUUUUGCCACUUUUUUUAAUUUUUGAGUUAACCGAUACUGAUGACACCCCCCUGGCAGCAACCGCAUCCGUGCGUGGCCACCGUCAGGCCCAGGCAGUUCUUAUUUCUUGUAAUAUAGGACAAUAUUUGAUUUCUUCUGCAAAAUGUGAUUUGAAAUAUCAACCGAGCUAAACGUUACUUGUGGCGUGAGCCCGCCAAUCUCGGAUUUAAGGAAUGGACAUCCAUCACAAUUCUCACCGAAGCGGCGUUAGUCAAGUUGGCACCAGUUUCACAUUCGGAUUCAGGUCCAAAUUGCAGAUUCGGCGGACUCCCCAAAUAAACCUAAAACUUUGUAUACUGAUGCAGUUUAAUCUCCUGAGCACAAUGAGCACAAAAUCUCGGACCGGUACGCCCAAUUACCGGAGAUAUAUCAAAAUUACAGAUCCCAAUAAAAAAGGCGGACUUCUUCAGUUAUUCGUAGGCUGUGCGUAUACAUCCUCCAAAACGUAGGGCGGUUACGCACCGGGCUUAUACACCCUCCAAAAUCUUCCAGAUGGUUGUACGUGUCAAGCAUACGCGCAAUGGCAGUCUUGGAGGCAAGGAAGUGCAAAAAUGCAGACUUUCGUGCGAGAAGUCGGUUCUAUGCUUGAUAAACAUCAAACGAUCAUUGUGAUAUUGUAGCGAAGCGAACUACGGCAGUGUUUCAACAUGUUCCGCUGCGCCGUUUGGAAAUAUAACCAACUCACGAGUUGAUUGCGACGCCCCAAGCGACGUGUGUGGGGCUGCGCUUGCAGGCAUGUCCAGCCAACAAAGUCCCAUCUGUCUUCACUGAGCGUGUAUGGAGCAAGAUUAGCGGUGAGGAUAUUAAUUUGCAUUUGUUAUUUUCACGCUGAAUUGCCCGCCAUCAGUUUAGGAUCCCGCCUGAAAAGAGAUGGCAUUGCCGCAGUUCAAUGUGACGCACCCCGACCGGUCGCCUAAAUCGCACUGUCGGCUAGAAAACAUGUGUCUGGCGAUGGAAGUAGAAGAUCCUGCCCGGAAAAAGGCUACUUGCUCCAUUUUGCUGGCCCUGCAGUGUUUGAUCAGCAAGAAACACUGCCACAGCCCCCGCCUGCUGCGGGAGAGGCCGCAGAUGUCCACAAAAAGAUGUGCAGGCAGCUUGGGUCUUAUUUUGUUCCACAGAAAAAUAUAGAUGAGUGUGAUGUGUUCCACCAAAUGAUGCAAUUGGAAAGUGAGUCCACUGAUGCAUUUGUGGCUGGCCUUGGGCACCUUGCCAGUACUUGUGAUUUCACUGAUUCUGCCUGGGAAAUCCGCCAGCAGGUGAUCAUGGGAGUCAGAGAUUCCAAGGUGACGGAAAAGGCCCUGCAACAGAAAAUGACACUCAAAGAAUUGCACUCAUUUGCAAGAGGCUUGGAGCAAGCCAGAGCCCAUGCAUGUGCCAUUGAAGCAUGCCAUUCAAACAGAUUUGCUGUGCCAUAGGCAAAUGUCCAGGCACAAAACAUAGUGCAAAAACAAGAGCCCACCUCAAACCUGAUGCAAAAGAAAAUGCACCAAAGCAACCAGGCUAGUCACAGUGUUUUAAAUGCAGAAGACGUGCAAGAUGCUACAGCCCAAAACAUGGCCAGUGGGAGUGCUUUAAAAAGUAGGAUUGCUUUCAUUGUGGAAAGCAUAACAUGGUCACACUCAAACAGCAUGUUGCAACAAAGGUCAGCAUGGUUUCACCAUAGUAAAACAGAUGGACCAACUGCACCAUAUGCAAGCCCAGCAUGAAAGCCCACCUGAGGAGUACCUCCUGAGGAUCAACAAGUCUAUGCAGGAGACAACAGCAAGUGAAAACCAUCCAAUUAAGAUAACAGUGCAAGUGGAUGGAAAGCCAGUGCAGUGGGAAGUCAAUACUGGUGCAGCAGUGUCAGUGAUGUGGGAACAGCUGUCCUGCAAGCUGUGGCCAAACAGGAAAUUGGAGGAAUCCAGACAGAGACUGGAAACCUAUGCUGGUGAGCCCAUCUCUGUGAUAGGGGAAGUCAAGGUGAUUGUGCAAGAAAGUGCUACCCCUGAUCAUAGUGUGUGGAUCCAGCAAAUCCCUACUGGGUAUAAAUUGUCUCUCCAAGGUGAAACUGAACUGGCAUGCAAUCUUCCAUGUGAAGGCCUCACUGGAGGGAACAGCACAAGAGAUACUGAAAAAGUUCCCAAAUCUGACAAAGCCCGAGUUGGGGAAAGCCAACACUGAAGCCCACCUGGAGAUAAAUUUGAAUGUCAAACCAGUGUUCUGCAAACCGCGAUUGGUGCCCCGGGCUCUGCAAUCAUUGGUGAAAGAGGAGCUAGAUCGUCAAAUCGAAGCCAGAAUCCUGAAGCCCUGCAAGUCAGCACAGUGGGCUGCAUCCCUGGUGACAGUAUUGAAGCCAGAUGGCAAAGCAAGACUGCGGUAGCUACAACCUAACCGUAAACAGAGCCAGUCACUUGGAGCAAUAUCCACUGCCCAAAGUGGAGGAACUUCUCACCCAACUUGCUGGAGGUCCGAACGACGCUGCACAUCUCGCUAACCUGGAGGAAGUACUGAGACGACCAGAUUAGGAGAACCUGAGAAUUGACCCAAGAAAGUGCAGGUGGUUCCUGCCAGGGGUCUCCUACGUCGGGGUGCAGAUCGACAAGGUCUGCGCGCAACAGAGCAGAAGGUAGCAGCUGUGCGAGACGCCUCACGUCCUGAAAACGUCGGACAACUGAGGACGUACCUCGGCAUGCUGAAUGACUACAGUCGCUUCUGCCCGAAGCUGAGUGCGGCUUGCUGCACCGUUGUAUGCACUCCUGAGAAAAGACGUAGAGUGGCGAUGGGGCGCAGAGCAGCGGGACGCCUUCAGGGCAACGAAGGUUCUUCUCUAGGCUCCCUGUCUCGCACACUUCGACGGUAAUGCACCAGUCAUCGUGUCAGCGGAUGCCAGCUCCUAUGGCCUAGGAGCUGUGUUGUGCCAGAUGACACCAGAAGGAGAACGCCUAAUCGUCCUCGCCUCCCGCACUCUGAACCAAGCUGAAACGGACUAAAGUCAGAUCGACUGUGAAGGUCUGCCUCUGGUCUUCGCCGUCAAGCGGUUCCACAGCUUCGUGUGUGGAAGACCCUUCACGCUCAGAACCGACCACAAGCCGCUCCUGGGGCUCCU